rnacentral:tRNA from 1 species
GGGCUUAUAGUUUAAUAGGUUAAAACAUGCCGCUCAUAACGGCAGAAAUGAAGGUUCAAGUCCUUCUAUGCUCA